rnacentral:rRNA from 1 species
GAUGAACGCUAGCGACAGGCCUAACACAUGCAAGUCGAGGGGCAGCAUGAAGUAGCAAUACUUUGAUGGCGACCGGCGCACGGGUGAGUAACACGUAUGCAACCUACCUUUUACACGGGGAUAAUCCGGCGAAAGUCGGUCUAAUACCCGAUGGUACUUAUAAUCUGCAUGGAUUAUAUUUUAAAGAAUUUUGGUAAAAGAUGGGCAUGCGUAACAUUAGCUUGUUGGUAAGGUAACGGCUUACCAAGGCAACGAUGUUUAGGGGUUCUGAGAGGAAGGUCCCCCACACUGGUACUGAGACACGGACCAGACUCCUACGGGAGGCAGCAGUGAGGAAUAUUGGUCAAUGGACGAGAGUCUGAACCAGCCAAGUCGCGUGAAGGAAGAAUGUCCUAUGGAUUGUAAACUUCUUUUGUAAGGGAAUAAAAGAUGUCACGUGUGAUAUAUUGUAUGUACUUUACGAAUAAGGAUCGGCUAACUCCGUGCCAGCAGCCGCCG